UUCAAGGAAGGAGAUCAUCGCUAAGUAUGAAAAUGGGGGGGGGGGGGGGUGUUACAGACCUUGCUAACUAUGGCGAAGUCGACUGAUAUCCUAAAGAAUAAAAAUGAAAUAAAGGUAGCAAGUGUUGCCAAAGCACUGACAAGGAUUACAAAGAAAAGGCCACACAAAUAAUCGAGGAAAUGGAGAAACUACUGGAGAAUUGGCCAGUUGAAUGAUGGAGGAUCACUCCCUGUAGCGCUUCCUGCUCCUCUCCCCCACAUCGCGAUCAAUAAGGUACAUGAUAGACAUUGAAGUUGAUUAAAGUUAUUUUUUUUUUUUUACAAUUAAGUUUACAAUUAAAAUGCAUUUUAUUGUUUAAAUGCAGGGUGCACAUGUUUUUACUGAAAUGAAAAUUACAUUUCGACAUUUGCUAUUUGGAGGUUGGGAACGCAUUAACAUCAUUCACAUUAUUUGCUAUGAGAAAAAAUGUUUUGGAGGUUGAACAAAUUGGAAUUUGGACACUUCACAAAAACAAAUUAUGUUCGAACUUCCACCGUAUUAUUAUUUUUAUUUCAUCCGAACAAUCUUGCCAUUGUAUCAACAUUUUAAUUAUAGAAAUUUGUACAUUGUAAUAUUUAAAAAAAAAACAUACAAGAUUAUUCUCUGGUGUAAGCGACGGUUAGAGUUUUAUCUGAGUGGAAAUUUGAGCGUUGCCGCAGCGAAGUGGACGGAGACGGUGGAGAAUGACACGUUUUGGCAUCGGAGGGAUGGGAACGGACAGGAGGUAAAACUCAAAACAGGAAGGAAGGAACGGCGAACAAUAGCGUGACACACGCAUGCACGCACGCUGACGCACACACACACGCAGGACAGGACGAAGAUCGCGAACGUCGUUUGCGGCCGUUUACCAAAUCGCUUCGGCGUUCUUCAGCGAGCUGGGUCCUACGAAGACGGCGAGGACUACGAGCUUUACGAAGGCGUUCAAGGUUAUCGAUUUGAGCCAGUUCGACAGCACACACGUCGGAAUUCAGACGAAGUAGCUGGCCAAGAAGAAGCCGACACAGCAGUCAGAGCCAUCGUGGAGGAUUUGCCUCGUUUUGGAAAUAUCGACUGAUAACGCCGACUGUGGGCGACAAUCGGAGUGGACUAAGGUGGCGGCGGCUGCCCGUAGAUCCGUCUGUCUUACACCGCACGGCUGACAGGCUCAUACGGAAAG